rnacentral:rRNA from 1 species
GAUGAACGCUGGCGGCACGCCCAACACAUGCAAGUCGAGCGGCAGCGCGAUAUGUAGCAAUACAUAUUGGCGGCGAGCGGCGGACGGGUGAGGAACACGUAGGAACCUACCCUCGAGUGGGGGAUAACCAAGGGAAACUUUGGCUAAUACCGCAUGAACUCGAGAGAGCAAAGCUGCCGCAAGGUGGCGCUCGAGGAGGGGCCUGCGUCCGAUUAGCUAGUUGGUGAGGUAAGAGCUCACCAAGGCGAUGAUCGGUAACUGGUCUGAGAGGACGAACAGUCACACUGGGACUGAGACACGGCCCAGACUCCUACGGGAGGCAGCAGUGGGGAAUAUUGGACAACGGGGGCAACCCUGAUCAAGCGAUGCCGCGUGAGUGAAGAAGGCCUUCGGGUCGUAAAGCUCUUUAGGUUGGGAAGAAGGGUGAUGGAGGAAAUGCUAUCACUUUGACGGUACCGACAGAAUAAGCACCGGCAAACUCUGUGCCAGCAGCCGCAGUAAUAC